AACCUUACCUGGUCUUGACAUCCACGGAAUUCGGCAGAGAUGCCUUAGUGCCUUCGGGAACCGUGAGACAGGUGCUGCAUGGCUGUCGUCAGCUCGUGUUGUGAAAUGUUGGGUUAAGUCCCGCAACGAGCGCAACCCUUAUCCUUUGUUGCCAGCGGUCCGGCCGGGAACUCAAAGGAGACUGCCAGUGAUAAACUGGAGGAAGGUGGGGAUGACGUCAAGUCAUCAUGGCCCUUACGACCAGGGCUACACACGUGCUACAAUGGCGCAUACAAAGAGAAGCGACCUCGCGAGAGCAAGCGGACCUCAUAAAGUGCGUCGUAGUCCGGAUUGGAGUCUGCAACUCGACUCCAUGAAGUCGGAAUCGCUAGUAAUCG
rnacentral:rRNA from 1 species